AUGAACAAUAUAAUAAAAUCAAAAAAGCUGUAUGAAUUAUAUUCGAAACGCUAUAUUUGUAAUUACUCUAAAAACAGAAAUUUAAAAAAUAAAUAUAAAUAUCUAAAUGGUCAUAACAAUAAUUUAACAUUUAGUUCUACUAACACAACGAUAAACAAUAACGGCAAUAAACUAACAAAUUUUAGUACCAAUAAAUUUCGGAGUGAAAUAAAAUGGCCAUUUCAAUUUUAUGUACAAAACCAUAUAGUUUUAAAAAAAAUUAUGAACAGUAAUGUGAAAAAACUAAGUGCAAGGCAAUUUUCAAGAUAUUCCCACAAAGAAUCAUCAUCGUCAAGGAAUAUUAAAAAUGAAGAUAAAAAAAAUAUAAAAAAGAAAUUGGAAUUGUUUGUACGUUUACCAUAUAUGGAAAUAAAAAAUAAAUUUAACAACAUAAGUCUUUUAUGGUUGAAAGAUAAUUAUUAUAAAAAUAAAAAAUGGCUAAUCACUUUUUUGAAUAAUGUUUAUUAUGAAAUAUGCAUAAAAAAAUAUAGACAAUUAAAAAAAACAGUACCAAAUAAUUUUUUUUUUAAUUAUAACAAAAAUAAUAAUGUAAAAAUAUUUUAUCCGUUUUUUUCAGUAUUAUUUAUAAAAAACUUUUUUAAAAAUGAUAAAUUAAUAACUCGUUUUUUAAAUUAUUUAUCAAUAAAUAAAAAAUUGUUCUUAAAUAAUUUUUCUAGUUUUUAUCAACAAAAUAUAAGAAGCGGCUAUUAUAAAAAAUUAUUUUUAUUUCAUUAUAAAAAAACUCCAGCUACAUAUACUCUUAUUUUAUUACACUUAUUUAUUUAUUUAUUAUGGUUCAAAGCGAAACCUGUACAGUAUAACUACAAUGAAUAUUUUUUAACAAAUAACAUGUUCAUAGAUAGAAACAGACAAAAAAACAACAAUUUUCUAUUAACAACUGAUUUUAUGUAUAAUCAUUUUUGUUGUAGUUUACGAAGUUUAAAAGAAAAAAGGUUUUAUACAAUUUUAACAAAUAUAAUUAGCCAUAAUACUAUACAAUCUUUUUUAUUAAAUACUAUUGCUUUAUACUAUAUAGGGAAAGGUUUAGAAUGUGCCAGUGGAAGUAUAAGUUCUAUUCUAGCUACAUACACAUUUAUCUUUCCGAAACAAAAUAUUUACCUAUAUGGAAUCAUUGGUUUGCCUAUGGCUUUAUUUUCUUCUUUAUACUUUUUGAACGAAUUUUACUGUGUUAUAACGAAUAAAAACGACAAUACAGGACAUGUCGCACAUUUAUGUGGUAUGUGUUUAGGAAUCUUGUACUAUUUAUUUUAUGUUAAAGGAAGAAUUGUUACAUAAAAACAUGCAUACAAGUACGCUUAAAAAGCGCGUUUUUUUUUUUCUAAUUUGUUGUUAUUUUAAAUUGUUGUUUUUUUUUUACUGUUUUUUUUUAGCUUUUUUUUACUGUUUUUUUAAUUUUUUUUUUUUAGCUUAAUGCUUUGUUAACUUAUUGUUUUUUUAAUUAACUGUUUUUUCAUUUUAUUGUUUUUUCAUUUUAUUGUUUUUUCAUUUUAUUGUUUUUUCAUUUUAUUGUUUUUUCAUUUUAUUGUUUUUUCNNNNNNNNNNUUUUAUUGUUUUUUCAUUUUAUUGUUUUUUCAUUUUAUUGUUUUUUCGUUUUUCAUUUUUAUUUUCAUUUUCAUUUUUAUUUUCAUUUUUAUUUUUAUUUUCAUUUUUAUUUUCAUUUUUAUUUUCAUUUUUAUUUUUAUUAAAUUUUAUUUGUUUUUUAUAAAAUUUUUAAUUCCUCAUAAAUUCAUAAGUGCGCUAAUUUUUUUUUUUUUUCUUUCUUCUUUUUUCUUCCUUUUUAAAUUUUACAUUAUACAUGUAUGCGCAUAAUAUAUUUAUUAUUAAACAAAAUUAAUAUUAUUAAAAAAUUUGGUAAUAUAUAUAUAUAUAACAAUACACGAAUGGAAUGUUUAAAAUACCUUAAAAAAAAUUUAUAUAUUUAUUUUUUUUUUACUUUUUACGGUUUAUAUAAAAAAGAAAAAAAGAAAGUAAAAAAAAAAAACUUAAAGCAAUAGAAAAAAAAAAAAAAAAAGGUAAUAAAAUAACAUACAUAACAAAUAUCA
ensembl:lncRNA